CCCGCUGAACUUAAGCAUAUCAAUAAGCGGAGGAAAAGAAACUAACAAGGAUUCCCCUAGUAACGGCGAGUGAAGCGGGAAGAGCUCAAAUUUAAAAUCUGGCAGUCUUUGGUUGUCCGAAUUGUAAUCUAGAGAAGCGUUUUCCGUGCUGGACUGUGUACAAGUUUCCUGGAUACGGAACAUCAUAGAGGGUGAGAAUCCCGUCCUUGACACAGACCCCCAGUACUUUUGUGAUGCGCUCUCGACGAGUCGAGUUGUUUGGGAUUGCAGCUCAAAAUGGGAGGUAAAUUCCAUCUAAAGCUAAAUACAGGCGAGAGACCGAUAGCGAACAAGUACCGUGAGGGAAAGAUGAAAAGAACUUUGGAAAGAGAGUUAAACAGUAUGUGAAAUUGCUGAAAGGGAAACGCUUGAUGUCAGUCACGUUGGCUAGGGAUCAACCUUGCUUCUCGCUGGGUGUAUUUCCUAGUGGACGGGUCAGCAUCAGUUUCGGUCGCUGUACAAGGGCAAAGGGAACGUGGCACUCCUUGGAGUGUGUUAUAGCCUUUCGUCGUAUGCAGUGGUUGGGACUGAGGAACUCGGCACGAAAUCUAUUUUGUGCUUAGGAUGCUGGCAUAAUGGCCUUAAGCGACCCGUCUUGAAACACGG
rnacentral:rRNA from 1 species